UUUAAGCGCAACCAUUAGUUUCCGUAUCCAAUUUUGAUCGUCCGUCUUAUUUAAUUUUUUUUAUGAUUAGUAUUUUUAUUGUUAUUGUUAUUAGAUGAUAAAAUAUGAAUAGUACUUUAUGUGUGACUUAUGUUUUUUAAUAUUUUAAAAAAAAUUCAAAUAUGACGGAUGAUUAAAGUAGGACACGGAAACUCAUGGCUGUGCUUAAA
rfam:Oryza punctata chromosome 4, whole genome shotgun sequence.